rnacentral:rRNA from 1 species
UGGGAACUGCGUUNUGAACUGGGUGACUAGAGUGUGUCAGAGGGAGGUAGAAUUCCACGUGUAGCAGUGAAAUGCGUAGAGAUGUGGAGGAAUACCGAUGGCGAAGGCAGCCUCCUGGGAUAACACUGACGUUCAUGCCCGAAAGCGUGGGUAGCAAACAGGAUUAGAUACCCUGGUAGUCCACGCCCUAAACGAUGUCGAUUAGCUGUUGGGCAGCAUGACUGCUUAGUAGCGAAGCUAACGCGUGAAAUCGACCGCCUGGGGAGUACGGUCGCAAGAUUAAAACUCAAAGGAAUUGACGGGGACCCGCACAAGCGGUGGAUGAUGUGGAUUAAUUCGAUGCAACGCGAAGAACCUUACCUGGUCUUGACAUGUACGGAACCCUCCAGAGACGGAGGGGUGCCUUCGGGAGCCGUAACACAGGUGCUGCAUGGCUGUCGUCAGCUCGUGUCGUGAGAUGUUGGGUUANNNNNNGCAACGAGCGCAACCCUUGUCAUUAGUUGCCAUCAUUAAGUUGGGCACUCUAAUGAGACUGCCGGUGACAAGCCGGAGGAAGGUGGGGAUGACGUCAAGUCCUCAUGGCCCUUAUGACCAGGGCUUCACACGUCAUACAAUGGUCGGUACAGAGGGUAGCCAAGCCGCGAGGUGGAGCCAAUCUCACAAAACCGAUCGUAGUCCGGAUUGCACUCUGCAACUCGAGUGCAUGAAGUCGGAAUCGCUAGUAAUCGCAGGUCAGCAUACUGCGGUGAAUACGUUCCCGGGUCUUNU